ensembl:snRNA U6 U6 spliceosomal RNA
GUGCUUGCUUUGGCAGCACAUAUACUAAAAUUGGAACAAUACAGGGAAGAAUAGCAUGGCCCCUGCGCAAGGAUGACACAAAAAGGAAAAAAAAUUAAAAUAAACAA